rfam:Camelus ferus unplaced genomic scaffold scaffold554, whole genome shotgun sequence.
GAAGGUAUAGCUCAGUGGUAGGGUACAUGCUUAGCAUGCAUGAGAUCCUGGAUUCAAUCCUCAGUACAUCCA